rnacentral:rRNA from 1 species
CCCUUAGAUGUUCUGGGCCGCACGCGUGCUACACUGAGUGGAUCAGCGGGUCAGGUUGCGCGAAAGCGUUUCCUAAUCUUUAAAUCCGCUCGUGAUGGGGAUUGACGGGUGCAAUUUUCUGUCAUGAACGAGGAAUACCUUGUAAGCGCGGGUCAUCAUCCCGCGCUGAAUACGUCCCUGCCCUUUGUACACACCGCCCGUCGCUCCUACCGAUUGGGUGAUCCGGUGAAUGAUUCGGACUCUGGCUAUGCUAGCUACUAGCUACGUCAGGGAAAGUUUUGUGAACCUUAUCACUUGGAGGAAGGAGAAGUCGUAACA